rnacentral:lncRNA from 1 species
UGCUGAAUGAACUGAUUAUAUUUAUCAUCAGACAUCACUCCCUUUCAGAAAAUUAUGUCUUGAAGAUGACGAUAAGUUGCCAGUUGAUUUACAUGUCACCCUUAGUGAUAUCCUACCACACCAUCCUUUAUUCGGCAUGCAAAAAAAACUUUCCAUUCUGGGUUUCUCUGAUUUGAAAGGCCUUGAUGAUGUAAUGGUGCUAGGAGAAAAUUUUAUCAACAGAGAGAAAUGAAAGCUGCAGCUGUGUGAAAUGGAAUUGACAAUUACAUUCAUCAACAGACACAUUUCAGUUUCAGAAAUUUUUGUCUUGAGACAAAAGUUGCCAGUCGAUUUACAUGUCACCUUAAGUGAUAUCAUA